ensembl:snRNA U6 U6 spliceosomal RNA
GUGCUUGCUUCGGCAGCACAUGUACUAAAAUUGGAAUGACACAGAGAAGAUUAACAUGGCCACUAUGCAAGGGUGACACACACAAAGUCAUGAUGCAUUUCAUAUUUUA